UCUUCUUUUUUAUUUUUAUUUUUUAUUUAUGGUGAAAUCUUUUAACUGUCUCAUUUAUAUAUGAAAUAUGCUUUGCUACCAUUCUUUGUAGACAAAAACUGCAUUAUACAAGUAACCAAUACUGUGAAGACCAAAACUGCAUCAUAGUAGUAACAGAGGUUUAUCUACAUGAUGUCUGCUCGAGUACAAUCUUUUUUUCUCCUCUUGAUUUCCCAUUAGCUCUGUUACUUAAUUCUGCGGUGUAACCUUGGACUCAGAUGUUACUUGCAUUCUUUUUCUGCUUAAAUUCUUAUAAUAAUUUUUGCUUAUUGCUGUGCAAUUAUUUCAGAAAUCCUUAAUGGUUUUCAGUUUUUUUUAAUAACUGCUUAUUAGGAGGCUGCUAUUGCCUUACACUUGCUGACAGUUGUUCUGCAUAUUUAAUAUGCAUAAUCAGGU
rnacentral:misc_RNA from 1 species